UUAAAACAAGUUACAGACUCAGUGUGUAACCGAUACCUUACAGACAGGAACCAAGUUGACCGUACCUGUUUACACGGAUGUUUGCAGUGCUAUCUGUCAUGGAGCUGUUAACUUCCAAGACUGUCCCGUAAAUGGAAGAAGAUUGGAUGGACGUGGUCAGGGAGAAAAGAGCAAUGUUGA